CAUAACUUGACUUCUAAUUGGGUCACAAUCUUUAAAGUCAUUACGAUUUUGCCGAAUUAUUUCAAAGAUCUACUUGCAUGCAUAAGGCACUUCAGCUUUUGCACCCCGUGAGCUUGCAAAGGGAACGGAACUCUUGAAGAAGAAAAGGAAUUCUACUUGAAAGUUGCCGCGAGCUCUCGCGUUCUCCAUCAUGACGGUGUGGUUUUCGAGGCAACCCAGCUAUUCAAUUGAAACCAUAUUAAAGUUGGUGUUUUCUGUUGUCACCGCUGCUACUAUGGUUAACGCUCAAAGU